rnacentral:rRNA from 1 species
GAUCCUGGCUCAGGAUGAACGCUAGCUACAGGCUUAACACAUGCAAGUCGAGGGGCAGCAUGGUCUUAGCUUGCUAAGGCCGAUGGCGACCGGCGCACGGGUGAGUAACACGUAUCCAACCUGCCGUCUACUCUUGGACAGCCUUCUGAAAGGAAGAUUAAUAUAAGGUGGCAUCAUGAGUCCGCAUGUUCACAUGAUUAAAGGUAUUCCGGUAGACGAUGGGGAUGCG